UGCAGUCGAGCGCACUCUUCGGAGUGAGCGGCGGACGGGUUAGUAACGCGUGGGAACGUACCCAGAUCUACGGAAUAGCCUCGGGAAACUGAGAGUAAUACCGUAUACGCCCUUCGGGGGAAAGAUUUAUCGGAUUUGGAUCGGCCCGCGUUAGAUUAGAUAGUUGGUGAGGUAACGGCUCACCAAGUCUACGAUCUAUAGCUGGUUUUAGAGGAUGAUCAGCAACACUGGGACUGAGACACGGCCCAGACUCCUACGGGAGGCAGCAGUGGGGAAUCUUGGACAAUGGGCGCAAGCCUGAUCCAGCCAUGCCGCGUGAGUGAUGAAGGCCUUAGGGUCGUAAAGCUCUUUCGCCAGAGAUGAUAAUGACAGUAUCUGGUAAAGAAACCCCGGCUAACUCCGUGCCAGCAGCCGCGGUAAUACGGAGGGGGUUAGCGUUGUUCGGAAUUACUGGGCGUAAAGCGCGCGUAGGCGGACCAAUCAGUCAGAGGUGAAAUCCCGGGGCUUAACCUCGGAACUGCCUUUGAUACUGUUGGUCUAGAGUUCGAGAGAGGUAAGUGGAAUUCCCAGUGUAGAGGUGAAAUUCGUAGAUAUUGGGAAGAACACCAGUGGCGAAGGCGGCUUACUG
rnacentral:rRNA from 1 species